UUUUCUCAAAUACCAACAUUUCAUUAAGUUUUCUCUUCUAUCCAAGGUGUUUUACAAUAAAUGGAUGAGCUGGCACAAUUAUUACUUUUUAUACCCACUUUCACUCUCCUCCAUUAGCAAUCAUCCAGAGACUGAAACAUCAAACAUAGACAAAUCAUUUCCUUCGUCUUCUCAUCCAAAAUUUAUGAUCAUGGCUUAUAAUGAUUUCUUUAAAACAAUAGACUUCAAAUUUAAGGCUUCUAAUCAUUUCUUUCGUCUUCUCAUCUAAGAUUCACCCAAACAGCGUCGCUGUCAUCACUCCCCAUCGUCCUAAAGCUCUCAACGCCAUGAACUUAGGUCAAUCGUAUCACAUUUUCUUUUUUUUAAUCUAUUAAUAAUUGUUGUAAUUUCAAUUUUAAUGUUUGAUUACUAUAUAGAACAUUCGAAUUUGGAUUGCUGAUAUAGAUGCUAAGUACAAAAGUUUUCUGGGUGUAUGGGAAUCGGAUCUGAUUAACUUUGAUUGGCAGCUCUCAAAGGUACCCAGAUGUUAAGUACAAUAAGUGUGUUCUUAUUGAAGGCAACUCUCCUAGUGCAUUUUGUGCUGGUAAUCGUUUAAUUUGAAUUUCCGAAAACGAGACUCUUUAAUUUAGUUAUAUUACUAUUAAUGAAUAAUCUGGAAGGAAUCUUUUCAAUUGGUUCUUUCAGGCUAUUGAUGAUCCUUCAUUCUAAUCCCCUUUGGCUCAACGGAGGUGUCUUUGAAAGUGUCAACUUCAUAUUUACCAAAUUGCAUAUAGUAUUUUUUUGUGGAGCUUUGUCUUCAUAUUUGAGUGUUUACAAUUUGUUUUACUAUUUUUAUUUUAAAAAAUGUAGCAGAGCUGUAUUUGAGACGUAUCACUGUAGUUCUGAGAUGUAUCUGAAUUUUUUUAAGAUGUAUAUCUACAUUUUUAAUUUAAACU